UGGGGAAUUUUGGACAAUGGGCGAAAGCCUGAUCCAGCAAUGCCGCGUGUGUGAAGAAGGCCUUCGGGUUGUAAAGCACUUUUGUCCGGAAAGAAAUCCUUGGCUCUAAUACAGUCGGGGGAUGACGGUACCGGAAGAAUAAGCACCGGCUAACUACGUGCCAGCAGCCGCGGUAAUACGUAGGGUGCAAGCGUUAAUCGGAAUUACUGGGCGUAAAGCGUGCGCAGGCGGUUUGCUAAGACCGAUGUGAAAUCCCCGGGCUCAACCUGGGAACUGCAUUGGUGACUGGCAGGCUAGAGUAUGGCAGAGGGGGGUAGAAUUCCACGUGUAGCAGUGAAAUGCGUAGAGAUGUGGAGGAAUACCGAUGGCGAAGGCAGCCCCCUGGGCCAAUACUGACGCUCAUGCACGAAAGCGUGGGGAGCAAACAGGAUUAGAUACCCUGGUAGUCCACGCCCUAAACGAUGUCAACUAGUUGUUGGGGAUUCAUUUCCUUAGUAACGUAGCUAACGCGUGAAGUUGACCGCCUGGGGAGGGUACGGUCGCAAGAUUAAAACUCAAAGGAAUUGACGGGGUC
rnacentral:rRNA from 1 species